AGCCCGCCUCCUCGUCGCCGAGCUCGCCGAGCCCGCCUCCUCAUUCGCCGUCGCCGAACGUCGCCGACACUGGGUCCUCACUCGCCGCCGAUUUUGGAUUCGGAUCCACUUAUUAAGCUAUGGCAACUCCCUCACCCGAUUCAAUCAAUGAUGGCAUUUGCACUUUUGCAGACAUAUUCCUGGGUUGAACUGCAUAUUUUUUCUUUUGUUAAUCUCCUUAUAUGUUGUAUUGUGUUGUGUUCUUUCUUCCUGGCAUAAAGUCACUCUUGUUAUAUGGUGAAAAUGUCUAGAAUAAGGUAAUUGUUAAGAAUGUAGUUUAGAGGAUUUUUUAUUUUUAUUGGUACUAUUUACAUUUAAAUAAUAGAAGAACUUUGUAUUAAUUACUAUGAAUAAAUUAUCUCUAUUAGUA